UAAUAUAUUAAAUGAUUUAUGCUCAAAUGUAUUGAAUUUAUUGUGGAUUAUAUCGAUUAAUGUUGAUGUUACAUGGUUUAUGAUUUUUUUUGAAUUAAAAUAUAAAAGAAAUAUUUUGAUUUGAGAUGGAUUUGACUCGCAAUCUGACUAUGUAACGAAUCCUACCAAUUGAGGUUAAACGUUAGUAUUUUGAUACCCUGCU
rnacentral:lncRNA from 1 species